AGCUUGCUGCGGGUACUCGAGUGGCGAACGGGUGAGUAACACGUGGGUGAUCUGCCUUGCACUUCGGGAUAAGCUUGGGAAACUGGGUCUAAUACCGGAUAGGACAGCUGUUUAGUGUCAGUUGUGGAAAGUUUUUUCGGUGCAAGAUGAGCUCGCGGCCUAUCAGCUUGUUGGUGGGGUAAUGGCCUACCAAGGCGUCGACGGGUAGCCGGCCUGAGAGGGUGUACGGCCACAUUGGGACUGAGAUACGGCCCAGACUCCUACGGGAGGCAGCAGUGGGGAAUAUUGCACAAUGGGCGGAAGCCUGAUGCAGCGACGCCGCGUGGGGGAUGAAGGCCUUCGGGUUGUAAACUCCUUUCGACAGGGACGAAGCGUAAGUGACGGUACCUGUAUAAGAAGCACCGGCUAACUACGUGCCAGCAGCCGCGGUAAUACGUAGGGUGCGAGCGUUGUCCGGAAUUACUGGGCGUAAAGAGCUCGUAGGUGGUUUGUCGCGUCGUCUGUGAAAUUCCGGGGCUUAACUCCGGGCGUGCAGGCGAUACGGGCUGACUUGAGUGCUGUAGGGGAGACUGGAAUUCCUGGUGUAGCGGUGAAAUGCGCAGAUAUCAGGAGGAACACCGAUGGCGAAGGCAGGUCUCUGGGCAGUAACUGACGCUGAGGAGCGAAAGCAUGGGUAGCGAACAGGAUUAGAUACCCUGGUAGUCCAUGCCGUAAACGGUGGGCGCUAGGUGUAGGGGGCUUCCACGUCUUCUGUGCCGUAGCUAACG
rnacentral:rRNA from 1 species